rnacentral:rRNA from 1 species
UACGUAGGGUGCAAGCGUUGUCCGGAAUUAUUGGGCGUAAAGGGCUCGUAGGCGGUCCAUCGCGUCGGGAGUGAAAAGCUGGGGCUUAACCCCAGUCCUGCUUCCGAUACGGGUGGACUAGAGGUAGGUAGGGGAGAACGGAAUUCCUGGUGUAGCGGUGAAAUGCGCAGAUAUCAGGAGGAACACCGGUGGCGAAGGCGGUUCUCUGGGCAUGUUCUGACGCUGAGGAGCGAAAGUGUGGGGAGCGAACAGG